ACUUUUGGUGGAGGAACCAGACUGGAUGUUAACUUGGGUCGAGUCACCCCCACCCUGACGGUGCUGCCCCCCUCCAGCGAGGAGCUGCAGCAGGGGAAGGCCACGCUCGUGUGUCUGGCCAACAAGGGCUACCCCUCAGACUGGAGUCUGGCCUGGAAGGUGGACGGCAGCAGCAGCAGCAGCUUGGAGCAGAGCAGGAGCCCCGGGGUGCUGCAGAAUGAUGGCCGCUACAGCUGGAGCGGCACCCUGAGGCUCCCUGCAGACCAGUGGAGGAAGGUGGUCUCUGUGACCUGUGAGGCCACCCAGGGCUCCCAGACUCCAGUCUCAGAGACACUGAGGAGAGACCAGUGUUCCCAGUCCUGACCUGACUCACUGCUCCUGCUUUUACUCUGCUACUUCUCUCACUCUGAUUUCUGCAACUAUCUCUCUCUUUUAUUUCACGUUUCAGUAACAAUAUUUACUUGCUUGUUGUAAUGUUUCAAUAUAAUUUCAG